rnacentral:rRNA from 1 species
CCUACGGGGGGCUGCAGUGAGGAAUAUUGGACAAUGGAGGAAACUCUGAUCCAGCCAUGCCGCGUGAGUGAAGAAGGCCUUCGGGUUGUAAAGCUCUUUUACCCCUGACGAUAAUGACGGUAAGGGGAGAAAAAGCCACGGCUAACUUCGUGCCAGCAGCCGCGGUAAUACGAAGGUGGCAAGCGUUGUUCGGAUUUACUGGGCGUAAAGAGUGCGUAGGCGGUUUAACAAGUCAGGAGUGAAAUCCCAGGGCUCAACCUUGGAAUUGCUUUUGA